GGGCGAGCUGUCCCCGGGUUCAUACAGCAAACGCCGGCCCGGCCCGGCGGAGAGCAGCUGACUACUGAGAGCCAAGCAGGGAACGAGGUGCAAGGGGUUGUUGAGCCGGCUCCCUGCAGCCGGUGAGGGAAGAAAUGAUAGUAGCCAGACCCGGUCCAGCAAAGCCAAAGGGCCCCGGCCGUGGAGAAAGUGUUCCUGUCUAUAAAUAACUCCGCCUGGGGGACAAACAGAAACAUCAAAGCCGGGCGCGGGAGCGCAGGCUGGGCGAGCCGGCUCGCUCCUGGGGAGCUGGAAAGGGAGCGCGUCCCCCGCCGGAGCCGCCGUCAGCGGGCAGCGCGUACCUCCGGGGCCCGGGCGUCCACGGCCCCUCCCGGGUGCUCCUGGCCCGUGACACCCGCAGCUCCGGGAGCCGGUGUCAAGCGGCGAGACGCACGGGAGUGGGGCGGCGUCUUCACCAACCACCGCGCAGACGGAGGCCUCGUGAGCAGCAAAGGGCCAGAUCCCCGCAGCCCCAGGGCCUGGCCACACCCCAGCCAGGCUCAGGCGGCGCCAGGGGUACCGCUGGCCACUCUCCGCUGAGACUCCGGACACCACCAGGGCCCCCUGCCCGCAGGGUCGCUCUCAGAAGUGUGGCCUGCCCCCCAGCAGGGCGAAGAGCCCCCGCUUGUCCCUUAGGACUGCUGCCCUCAGUGGUCAAGAUGCCACCUGGCUGUGGAAGCCUGCGGCGCCGCACUGACGCUAAUGGGUGGGUGAACACCUGAGCCUGUGCAGUGGCUGAGAACUCUCUGCGGGAGGACACCGGGAACACAAUAAACCCCGUGAGAGAGAAGAUUGCAACCCAGCCCCUCAGAGAAGGUCAAGAGUUUCAAGAAGUUCCCCAGCCCUUGUUUCCAGACUCCAGAACUGUGUGUUACCCCACUACUACUGCUGGGCAUUGGACCUAGAGUCUCAGGCACCCUAGGGACGCAGCUGCUGCUGCUACAACCUCGCU
rnacentral:lncRNA from 1 species